rnacentral:sRNA from 1 species
UUUUUAUUUUCUCUUUUACAGCCGCGGUUUCGAAGAUUAUGAUGAACUUCCAGAGAACCCAAGGAUGGAAGUGAUUGAAGAGAAUUAGGAGUUUGACCUCCCAUCUCCUAUUCUUAUUUAAAUUAU